rnacentral:tRNA from 1 species
GGGCCCGUAGCUCAAUGGUAGAGCAGUAGCCUUUUAAGCUAUUGGUUGAGCGUUCGAGUCGCUCCGGGCUCACCA